GUGGGGAAUAUUGCGCAAUGGGCGAAAGCCUGACGCAGCGACGCCGCGUGAGGGACGACGGCCUUCGGGUUGUAAACCUCUUUCAGCGCCGAAGAAGCGAAAGUGACGGUAGGCGCAGAAGAAGCACCGGCUAACUACGUGCCAGCAGCCGCGGUAAUACGUAGGGUGCAAGCGUUGUCCGGAUUUAUUGGGCGUAAAGAGCUCGUAGGCGGUCUGUCGCGUCGGAUGUGAAAACCCGGGGCUUAACUCCGGGCCUGCAUUCGAUACGGGCAGACUAGAGUGUGGUAGGGGAGACUGGAACUCCUGGUGUAGCGGUGAAAUGCGCAGAUAUCAGGAAGAACACCGGUGGCGAAGGCGGGUCUCUGGGCCACUACUGACGCUGAGGAGCGAAAGCGUGGGGAGCAAACAGGAUUAGAAACCCUGGUAGUCC
rnacentral:rRNA from 1 species